GCCAUUAGUCACUUCCGGGAUGGAUGGAGCGUGGGUCUAAAAAGGAGGCACAUGGCGUCCGGUGCAGGGAUGGGCGUAGUCAGAGAGGGAGGAGAACGACAGGGAACAGAAAGGGCAUGAGACGAGGGAAGAGAGAGUUAACGGACAGAUCACUCGGACGGGGAGAAACGGAAUACAGGUUCCAGCCAGGCUGAAAGAGGCGAAGAGGGGGAGAAUGAAGAAUUCAGAAGCGGUCACUGGCAAAACGGGUUGUGUCUCCAUGGAAAGUACAUCCUUCUUACUUCCCUUCCCCUUUGUGGGAGAGAGAACAGCAGCUGUCACAGCUCACCCAGUCAGAUGGGUGGAAGUAACCAAGAUGAAUGGCUUCGUCUUUCAUCUUCAGCCAAACAAACAGAGACAGAGAGGGAGCACAGCAGGGCCACCAUUCUCAGGGUUUCAGUUUUUCACUCAUUGGGUUUCCCCACCACCCCGCCUCAUCAGCAGCCCAUCAACACGUUGUCCCCUUUUCACACUGUCUGCAUCCCAAGCAGCACCUGACCUGCACUACUUCUCACUAGGGCCUGCUGGGAUCUGUGGGGCGGCUGGGCCGUAAGACGGGAUACAGGUACUGUCUUUGGGACAAUGGGGAUUUCAAACGGAAUAGACCGAGCGCAUAAUUAGUCUUACCGCAGGGACAAUGUGGAUUUCAAACUGAACAGAUCUAACACAAGUGGAAAUGCUAAUUCAGUUGAUGGACUUACUGUUGGUCAUGAAUCAACAAGUAGGGGGGAGUGGGGUAAAAUGAGUAAAGUUGACCCACCCCCGGUAUUAAGAAAAAUUUAAAAAAAAUUCAUUAAGAACUCACCAUUUCUAGCUGGCAUUGAUGAAGAGAGGCACAUGGAAGUGGUAAAAAUAUUUUACACAAAAAGUAUAAUGACUUAAAUCAAAGCAAAUGUAUCAAGGUCUAAAAUGACAUAUGAUAAGUGUUGGCAAAUUACCACUGUAUAAAAACAUGUGCAUAGUUUUGCAAAAGAUUAGCCCUAAAUUGCUAAGAUAAGCACCUUUUUUCAAAAAUAGUGGCUGUGUGGCAAAAUGAGCAAACUGCUCUGGGGUAAGUUGAACCAAUGGUCACUACCCCACCAUUAGAUAAGUUAAGUGUCUGGUGUAUCAAAUAUGAUUUCAAUGUAAAACUGCAUACCCGACAGUUUAUUUCUUAUUUCAGUUAUUGUAGAAAAACAAUCAUUAAUGGGGCUUACACAUACUGGCUGCUUUUAGAACAUUUGGAUCUUGGGCCAAAAAAGCUGAUUUGAUCGUCAAAAUGACUGUAACAUAAUUUGUAGCCAAGUGGAAAAAGGGAUAAGGAGAUUUACAUGACAUAUUCACCUUCUACAAAACAUA